rnacentral:rRNA from 1 species
GAACGCGAAGAACCUUACCCGGGAUUGAAAUGUAGAUGACCGCUCCUGAAAGGGAGUUUUCCUUCGGGACAUCUAUGUAGGUGCUGCAUGGUUGUCGUCAGCUCGUGCCGUGAGGUGUCGGCUUAAGUGCCAUAACGAGCGCAACCCCUGUCUACGGUUGCCAUCAGGUGAUGCUGGGAACUCCGUAGAGACUGCCGUCGUAAGGCGUGAGGAAGGUGGGGAUGACGUCAAAUCAGCACGGCCCUUACAUCCGGGGCGACACACGUGUUACAAUGGUAAGGACAAAGGGCAGCUACCUGGCGACAGGAUGCGAAUCUCUAAACCUUAUCACAGUUCGGAUCGGAGUCUGCAACUCGACUCCGUGAAGCUGGAUUCGCUAGUAAUCGCGCAUCAGCCAUGGCGCGGUGAAUACGUUCCCGGGUCUUGUACACACC